CGGUUAAGUUAGAAAGGGCGCACGGUGGAUGCCUUGGCACUAGGAGCCGAUGAAGGACGGGACGAACACCGAUAUGCUUCGGGGAGCUGUAAGCAAGCUUUGAUCCGGAGAUUCGAAUGGGGAAACCCACCCUCGUAAUGAGUGGUAUCCAUAUCUGAAUACAUAGGAUAUGAGAAGGCAGACCCGGGGAACGAAACAUCUAAGUACCCGAGGAAGAGAAAGCAAAUGCGAUUCCCUGAGUAGCGGCGAGCGAAACGGGAUCAGCCCAAACCAAGAGGCUUGCCUCUUGGGUUGUAGGACACUCGUACGGAGUUACAAAGGAACGAGGUAGAUGAAGAGGUCUGGAAAGGCCCGCAUAGGAGGUAACAGCCCUGUAGUCAAACUUCGUUCUCUCCUGAGUGGAUCCUGAGUACGGCGGAACACGUGAAAUUCCGUCGGAAUCCGGGAGGACCAUCUCCCAAGGCUAAAUACUCCCUAGUGACCGAUAGUGAACCAGUACCGUGAGGGAAAGGUGAAAGCACCCCGGAAGGGGAGUGAAAGAGAUCCUGAAACCGUGUGCCUACAAGUAGUCAGAGCCCGUUAACGGGUGAUGGCGUGCCUUUUGUAGAAUGAACCGGCGAGUUACGAUCCCGUGCAAGGUUAAGCAGAAGAUGCGGAGCCGCAGCGAAAGCGAGUCUGAAUAGGGCGAAUUGAGUACGUGGUCGUAGACCCGAAACCAGGUGAUCUACCCAUGUCCAGGGUGAAGUUCAGGUAACACUGAAUGGAGGCCCGAACCACGCACGUUGAAAAGUGCGGGGAUGAGGUGUGGGUAGGGGUGAAAUGCCAAUCGAACCUGGAGAUAGCUGGUUCUCUCCGAAAUAGCUUUAGGGCUAGCCUCAAGGUAAGAGUCUCGGAGGUAGAGCACUGAUUGGACUAGGGGCCCCUACCGGGUUACCGAAUUCAGUCAAACUCCGAAUGCCGAUGACUUAUCCUUGGGAGUCAGACUGCGAGUGAUAAGAUCCGUAGUCGAAAGGGAAACAGCCCAGACCGCCAGCUAAGGUCCCAAAGUAUACGUUAAGUGGAAAAGGAUGUGGUUGCUUAGACAACCAGGAUGUUGGCUUAGAAGCAGCCACCAUUUAAAGAGUGCGUAAUAGCUCACUGGUCGAGUGACUCUGCGCCGAAAAUGUACCGGGGCUAAACGUAUCACCGAAGCUGCGGACUGUUCUUCGAACAGUGGUAGGAGAGCGUUCUAAGGGCUGUGAAGCAAGACCGGAAGGACUUGUGGAGCGCUUAGAAGUGAGAAUGCCGGUAUGAGUAGCGAAAGAGGGGUGAGAAUCCCCUCCACCGAAUGCCUAAGGUUUCCUGAGGAAGGCUCGUCCGCUCAGGGUUAGUCGGGACCUAAGCCGAGGCCGAAAGGCGUAGGCGAUGGAUAACAGGUUGAUAUUCCUGUACCACCUCCUCACCAUUUGAGCAAUGGGGGGACGCAGGAGGAUAGGGUAAGCGCGGUAUUGGAUAUCCGCGUCCAAGCAGUUAGGCUGGGAAAUAGGCAAAUCCGUUUCCCGUGAAGGCUGAGCUGUGAUGGCGAGCGAAUUAUAGUAGCGAAGUUCCUGAUUCCACACUGCCAAGAAAAGCCUCUAGCGAGGUGAGAGGUGCCCGUACCGCAAACCGACACAGGUAGGCGAGGAGAGAAUCCUAAGGUGAUCGAGAGAACUCUCGUUAAGGAACUCGGCAAAAUGACCCGUAACUUCGGGAGAAGGGGUGCUCUGUUAGGGUGCAAGCCGAGAGAGCCGCAGUGAAUAGGCCCAGGCUGUUUAGCAAAACACAGGUCUCUGCGAAGCCGUAAGGCGAAGUAUAGGGGCUGACGCCUGCCCGGUGCUGGAAGGUUAAGAGGAGCGCUUAGCGUAAGCGAAGGUGCGAAUUGAAGCCCCAGUAAACGGCGGCCGUAACUAUAACGGUCCUAAGGUAGCGAAAUUCCUUGUCGGGUAAGUUCCGACCCGCACGAAAGGCGCAACGAUCUGGGCACUGUCUCAACGAGAGACUCGGUGAAAUUAUAGUACCUGUGAAGAUGCAGGUUACCCGCGACAGGACGGAAAGACCCCGUGGAGCUUUACUGCAGCCUGAUAUUGAAUGUUGGUACAGCUUGUACAGGAUAGGUAGGAGCCUUGGAAACCGGAGCGCCAGCUUCGGUGGAGGCAUCGGUGGGAUACUACCCUGGCUGUAUUGACCUUCUAACCCGCCGCCCUUAUCGGGCGGGGAGACAGUGUCAGGUGGGCAGUUUGACUGGGGCGGUCGCCUCCUAAAAGGUAACGGAGGCGCCCAAAGGUUCCCUCAGAAUGGUUGGAAAUCAUUCGCAGAGUGUAAAGGCACAAGGCUUGACUGCGAGACCUACAAGUCGAGCAGGGACGAAAGUCGGGCUUAGUGAUCCGGUGGUUCCGCAUGGAAGGGCCAUCGCUCAACGGAUAAAAGCUACCCCGGGGAUAACAGGCUUAUCUCCCCCAAGAGUCCACAUCGACGGGGAGGUUUGGCACCUCGAUGUCGGCUCAUCGCAUCCUGGGGCUGUAGUCGGUCCCAAGGGUUGGGCUGUUCGCCCAUUAAAGCGGUACGCGAGCUGGGUUCAGAACGUCGUGAGACAGUUCGGUCCCUAUCCGUCGCGGGCGCAGGAAAUUUGAGAGGAGCUGUCCUUAGUACGAGAGGACCGGGAUGGACGCACCGCUGGUGUACCAGUUGUUCUGCCAAGGGCAUCGCUGGGUAGCUAUGUGCGGACGGGAUAAGUGCUGAAAGCAUCUAAGCAUGAAGCCCCCCUCAAGAUGAGAUUUCCCAUUCCGCAAGGAAGUAAGAUCCCUGAAAGAUGAUCAGGUUGAUAGGUCUGAGGUGGAAGUGUGGCGACACAUGGAGCUGACAGAUACUAAUCGAUCGAGGACUUAACCAAUUU
rnacentral:rRNA from 1 species